AAAAAUUGUAUGGCCACACCCAUGGCAUAUGGAAGUUCCCAGGCCAGUGAUGGAAUCCGAGCCACAGCUACCACAACAACAGAUCCUUUAACCCACUGCACCAGGCAGGGGAUUGAACCCGGGGCCUCCACUGUGACCCCAGCUGCUGCAGUUGGAUUCUUAACCCACUGCACCACAUUGGGAAUGCUAAAGGCUUUCAUUUUCAUAGUCCUCUGUUUAGUACACAAUCUUUCCCCAUCACCAUAAAACCCAAUUUAGAGGAAUAUAAUGACAGUAAGAAUCUACCAAAAGGAAACUGAAGAAAAUGUAGUAUUCAAUAAUUCAAUUUUUAUUGAACACCAUAUAGAUAUAAGGGAAUAUGGUAGCUAAUAACACAAGGUCCUGGCUCCCUCCCGUGGAGCUUCCACUUGGUGUGGGAGAAACAGGACAAGCUGCCCAAAGAGGUCCAUCUCUGCAUACAUGGAGGAAAACACCCAAGAUCUGAUUCUUGCCUGACAUUGGAGUUUCCGUCGUGGCUCAGCGGAAACUAAUCUGACUAGCAUCCAUGAGGACGCAGGGUCAAUCCCUGGCCUCACUCAGUGGGUUAAGGAUCUGGUAUUGCCAUGAGCUGUGGUGUAGGUCACAGACCCGGCUCCCAUCUCACAUUGCUGUGUCUGUGGCGUAGGCCAGCAGCUACAGCUCCGAUUGAACCCCUCUCCUGGGAACCUCCAUAUGCCGAGGGUGCAACCCUUUAAAAAAAAUAAAAAGAAAGAAAGAAAUACAGGACGUUGACUGAGGUUCUCACGGGUUCCCCUCACCCUUGGGUCUUCCCAAGGAGAUCUCUCCUGGGUAACAGGGAAGUUAAAUGCAGGCCUAUCUCACUUGACAGCUGUCCCAGCCACACGUGGAUGGCAAACUUAAAAGAAUCUACAAGUCAAAUACUGCUUACUUGUAUUUAUUUAUUUUUACUGAAGUCUAGUUGAUUUCCAAUGUUAUAUUAGUUUCAGGUGUACAACAUUGUGAUUCAGUAGUUUUACAGAUUAUACGCUAUUAUAGGUUAUUACAAGAUAAUGGCUAUAAUUCCCUGUGCUAUACAGUAUGUCCUUGCUUGCUUACUUAUUUUAUACAGAGUAGUUUGUAUCUGUUGAUCUCAUACCCCUAAUUUGCCCCUCCCCUUUUCCCUCUCCCCUUCGAUAACCACAAGUUUGUUUUCAGUAACUGUAGUUCUGUUUCUGCUUUGCGUCUACACUCAUAUGUAUUAUUUUUUCAGAUUCCACAUAUAAGUGAUGUAUAGCAUUUGCCUUUCUUGGUCUGACAUUUCACUAAGCAUAAUAUUCUCUAGGUGCCAUCCACAUAGCUGAAAAUGGCUCUUGCUUUCAUUCUUAGACAAGAAUCAUUUAAACUCAGUGAUCCUUUUCCUGAAGUCAAUGCAGAUACAAAGAGGUAAAUUGGAAAAAAAAAUCAUAGUUGCAAUCACGUGGGUAAGAAGUGACAGAACAUAGUGGAUCUGCCUCACUUUAAUAUUCUAGAAAACCUCCCGUAAUAAGUGGAAGACAAAAGGCAAUUAUGCACAUGCCCCAUAUUUCAGAGAUGAGUUUAAAUUAUGUACAGUAGGCUCUGGAAUAUAUAUUAGGAAGAUUUCUAUUCAAAAGAAUUAAGGAGUUCCCACUGUGGUGCAGUGGGUUAAGAAUCGGGCGUUAUCUCCCCUGGUGGUGCAGGACUGAUUCCCAGCCCAGGAACUUCCAUAUCCCAUGAGUGUGGCUAAAAAAGGAAAAGAAAAAAAAAAAAAAAAAAAAAAAAAAAAGAAUUAAGAUUGGAAAUGUUUGGGGCUUAAAAAAAUAAAUUUCUCUUUUCUGAAAAAGUAACCCAUAUUCCUUUAUGCACAAUUUACCCAGUGAAGAUGGACAAAUUUUUGUGAUCUAUUUCUUUCCAAGUAGUUGCAAGCUCACAUGGGAUCAAACAAGUAACAAAUUGUAAAGUAGCCACAUGGAUUCAAACUGGAAACCCAGUAGCGAUCCAAACUCAGACUGUUUGAAAGUUGUGACCACUGUCUUCAUCAAUGACUAGCAAAAAGAAAUGCACCCCUUCAACUUAAAAGUAAGGUCACCCUCUGAAAGCAACCCUACUAAAUAUCAAUACAUAAUGGAUGAGACGAACCAUUGGCAGAAAUCGCCUAUCCUGAAACUGGUCUGCACUCAAUAUAUGGCUGAGAAGAUUCACUAUCUUCAGUGUUGGUCGAGUUAUCUAGAGUGAGUCUCAAGGAGACAGGGCUGAUGGAAAUUCGGAAAAUAGGGAGUGUAAUUGCUGGGUUGCCUUUCCAACAGUCAUUCCUUUUUCCUUCUGCAACACUGUCAGAACCUACCUUCCAUUAUAGGCUGUGAAAACACCUUUCCAAAUCUCUCUCACAGCUGAAAAAGUUGAUGCUAUUCUAGCCAGGGAGACAUGAGAGGAAACCUGCUGAGAGUCUUCUGAGAAAAGUUUUUUCUGUGAUUAAUAAUAAAAAUAAUAAUCACCAGAAGAAAGCUUAUCUCUUCCCUGGGCCCAGAGACUAAAGAGCAAACUGGAAAGUCUUCAAAGCGAGCGUGCAAAAGUCAGUGUAAUUUGAACUUCAGAAGAGUUGAUAUUACAAAUCUAUGUUUACUGUUGGAGAAUGCUUUACAGAUCAAAGGGUUGUGUCUAUCUCUUCAGACACUCUCCAAAUCAAACUGUAUUAAAUUAGAAACCAUGUUCGGAGUUCCUGUUGCGGCUCAGCAGUAAUGAACCCGACUAGUACCCACAAGGAUGCUGGUUCAAUCCCUGGCCUCGCUCAGUGGGUUCAGGAUCCAGUGUUGCCGUGAGCUGUAGGUCACAGAGGCAGCUGGAUCUGGCAUUGCUGUGGCUGUGGUACAGGCGUGCAGCUGUCAUUCGGAUUUGACCCCAAGCCUGGGAACAUCCAUGUGCUAUCAAUGUGGCCCUAAAAAGACCAAAAAAAAAAAGAAAAAGAAAAAAAAAAAGAGAGAAAGAAACCAUGUUUGGCAAAAAAUUAAAAUUCCUAAAAAAAAGUGUCAUGUUCAGAAAAGAGUUGACAGUGACUAGUUUGCUUUGGGACAUCAAAGUUCCCCCAGAAAGGCCUAGAACAUUCUUUACAGAGAUGCUCCAGCAUGAUUAGAUAUCCUGUUUACAGCAAAUAUUAUGAUAGAUUUUGCAACUGCUGUUGGUGAUCUCUGUCAAAGAAAGUAUGGGGUCAAAAUAAAAUAUUUAACUUUUUAACCUCUUCUUCAGCUUUCUCCACCAAGAGACCAUUCCUAUCGUAUUAGUCACUUCUUGUAUCCCCCUUCAAAUCCUCUCAGCCUUACCUUUCUCUUUGGCCUUUGGCCUCUUGUUCCCGCUCAGCCAAUAUCAUGGCAGCCAACUUUGUAUAAAUUCAACCAACUGCACUUGGGCAAAACAAUAGCACCCCACUUCACCUAUCUCUCACUUCCUGACCUGUGGCUUUCCUGUUGAUGCUGAGGUGUGAUACAUUCACUGCCUGCACAUAUAUACACAAUUAGGAAGUACAGGGAGAUUAAGAACCAGUGGGGAAAACCUUCACCCAAAGGGAGACAGGAGGCAACAAGUAACUCCUCCUUUCUCAUCCUGGAAUCAGUCACUCUUAAUAAACACUCUCACAUUGCAUUUCCCUCCUUCCCUGCCUCACUCCCCUUCCCCCUUCUUGCUGUUCUCUGGAAAUUGCCCUUCCUGAUAAAGUAGUAGCACAGAAGCCUCAGGCUCUGCUUUCUAAGCAACACUGCAUUUGUUUUUCAUCGCUGUGUAACAAAUUGCCACAAAUGCAGCAGCUUAAAAACAACGUCAGGUUACAGUUCUGCAGGUCUGAAGUUUUCUGUGGUGUGGCUGGGUUUAUUACUCAGGUUCUCGCAAGAUUGAAAUCAAGGUGUAGCCCAAGCUGUGUUCUCAUCAGGAGCUUGGAGUCUUCUUCCAGGCUUACCUGAUUGCAGAAGAAUUUGUUCCUCACAGGUGCAGGACUGAGGUUCCCAUUUCUUUGCUGGCUGUGGCGGGGGGGGGGGGGAGGGGGGGGACUAUUCUCAGCAACUAGAGAGUACCUUCAUUCUUGUGCUUCGCAUCUCUCCAACCUCUGUUUCUGAUCUCUAAACCCAGAUUUAAAUGGCUCAUGUGAUCAGGUCAGGCCUCCAUGGACAAUGCUCUUAUCUUAAGGUCAGCUGAUUUGGAAGCUACAUCUGCAAAAUCCCUUUGGCCAUAUAAUGUACCAUAUUUACAGAUUCCAUUCCCCACCCCAAAAUGGAUGUGAUUUUACAAAGACUAGGGUCACUGGGGAUCAUCUUAUAAUUCUGCCCAUCACAGAGACAGCUGGUACCAAAAAUGGCCCUAGAAAAAGCAGACCCUUAGGAUGACAUUGUGGUGAUGGAGUACUCGAUAAUCUGAAAGCAAUAGGGUUCAAAUUACCAGUGGUAAAUGGAGUAGAAAUUCCUGGCAUGCAAUGGCAUCACAUGUGCUAAGGCUUUCCCCUGAAUUUAAUUGGUAUUACAUGGAGAUGGAAGGUGAGGCAAAGGAUAUGCAACAGCCAUGGUGCUUGAAAAGCACGGGAGCAAAUGUGACUAGACAAACUGUAGAUAGGCCUCGAUAGCAGAAUUGGAAGCUUUGAAAAAAUAAAAUGAUAGACUCACACUGACCCACUGCCAAUUCAAAGCCUGCUUUGAAAGCCAGAGGGCCUCUGAGGUAACUCUGAAGAAUAUUCUCAUCUCCUGUCACCAAAACGCAGAGCUGCUAGGGAGACAAGUCCAGUGUCUCAUUCUUAGUGGUAGAAGGAUGAGGCAAGACCUCUGGUUUUUUAUCUUAUGGGGAAAUCCUGGCACUCUCUAGAUCACUGGAUCCCUAAAAACUUCACAGUAGUUCUCUCUCUUUCUCUGGUAUGGAGAUUCUACUAGAGUAUACAUGGUACUUUCUACUUCCUGCUCACCAGAUCCAUUUAGCAGGAUGCUUUGUGACAAUCUGAUGAUUGCCCUGUGGUAGAAAGUGGGAGCAUUUACUCAGUACCAGGGCAGGAGCAUUGAAUGUUCACUGCUGUCCUUCUCACAUGUGGGUGAACUACCUUUGAUCCCCCCUUUUUAGGGGCGAUGAGGAAAUAUGAAUUCAACAGCUACUUAUCAAGUGUAAGAGGCUGUGUUGACCUGAACUGAUAAAGAUACUACGUGAAGGCCAGUACGUACAAUUGAGAGUAAUACCUGGUUAAGUCUUUGAGAGUCCAUCCAGAUUUUGCAGCAAAAUGAAAGGGAAAAUGACAGUAACCACAACACCUAUGUCUCUUAAGUCUUUCAGGUUAAUGCCAAUCUCUGCAAUCCCUCCUGGCAUGCAGUAUGCUGCUGACUUAUUAUCUUGAUGAGGGGGCAGAAUAGUGGGGAGGAGAAGUUUCAGAAGCUUUCACUUGACCUUUCCUACUCUAAUGGCCCUUACCCUACUGGUUAGGGAAACAGUGUAAGGAUUUUUGCAAUGCUAGGUACAUCUACCCUCAGGGACUGAGCAAUAACAAGAAGACAGGUUACAGAUCCAUUAGAUCCACUGUGAGAUAGACUUGGUACAGAGCUCCACUUGACACAUGACCUCCAAAAGCACCCACUCUAUCCAGAGAUCUCUGACAGUGUUUGGUUUCCCUGGAUCAUUGUUAACCUGGAACUUAUAUCUAACAGUCUUUGAAUCUGAGUAUGCCACUUUUUCCCAGUAUAGAACUACCCAGGAAAAUGUCUACAAGGCCCUCCAGGGAAGGCAAAGAGAGGGGAAAAUAUUUACCUAUACCUUGUGUACCUUGUGUAGAUCCUUUCUUAAAAGGACCUGGCCUCUCUUUCAAAGAAAAGAAUAUGGAUCUGUGAAUUGACUUAUAUCUGGAAACUGGGUGCCAUAUUUUUCUUUUGCAGUGACUAAAAUAAGCCUUCUACAUAACAGUUCUCAUUCCUUUUUUUUCUUUUCUUUCUUUCUUUUCUUUCUUUCUUUUUUUUAAUGGCCUCACUUGCAUCACAUGGAAGUUCCCAGGCUAGGGGUCAAAUCAGAUCUGCAGCAGCAAGGCUCUGCCACGGCCAUAGCAAUGCCAGAUCUGAGCCACAUCUGUGACCUAUGUCAUAGCUUGCAGCAAUGCCAGACCCUUAACCCACUAUGCGAGGCCAGGGAUCAAACCCACAUCCUCAUAGAGACUAUGUCAGGUUCUUAACCCACUAAGCCACAACAGGAACUCAACUCUUUUUUUAUAUUGGCAAGAUGAGUACUAUCUUAUCUCUAAGAACAUCAAGUUCUAUUAAGCCCUCACCAGAGAUACCUGCAGGUCAGAGCACCCUAACUGCCACUCUGGUCUUGCUUGGGUCCUUGAUGGCUAAAUGCCCUUUUUCCUUGGACAGCCAAGUGUCAUCAUCUGACCUCCACAAUUCUGGAAUGCCAU
rnacentral:lncRNA from 1 species